GUUUGUGGCUCAGUGGUAGAGUGCUUGCCUAGCAUACAUGAGGCACUGGGUUCAAUCCUCAGCAACACA
rnacentral:tRNA from 1 species